rnacentral:rRNA from 1 species
AUUGAACGCUGGCGGCAGGCCUAACACAUGCAAGUCGAACGAGUGGCGGACGGGUGAGUAAUGUCUGGGAAACUGCCCGAUGGAGGGGGAUAACUACUGGAAACGGUAGCUAAUACCGCAUACCAUCGGAUGAACCCAUAUGGGAUUAGCUAGUAGGUGGGGUAAAGGCUCACCUAGGCGACGAUCUCUAGCUGGUCUGAGAGGAUGAUCAGCCACACUGGGACUGAGACACGGCCCAGACUCCUACGGGAGGCAGCAGUAGGGAAUCUUCGGCAAUGGGGGCAACCCUGAUCCAGCCAUGCCGCGUGCAGGAUGAAGGUCUUCGGAUUGUAAACUGCUUUUGUCAGGGAAGCGGUACCUGAAGAAUAAGCACCGGCUAACUACGUGCCAGCAGCCGCGGUAAUUC